rnacentral:lncRNA from 13 species
CGCAAAGCGGAAGAGCUCGCUGAUACGCGACGGCUCGGCGUGCUGGGCCCCGCUUGGUCUCCUGCGCGUGGUUCUGCGUCUCCAGCUGAUGCACCUUCGAUGAACCCGGUGAAGCGGUCGUUGAGGGCCUGCAGCUGCUCCUCGUUGGUGUGGCUAAUCUUGUACUCGUUGGUGAGCGCUGCCGCCUGGCUGAGGUGCAGCCCGUCAGACGCCGGUAGCCGGCGAUGGGCCAGGCCGAGGCAGAGGCCGAGCGACGUGGCCGAGGAGCAGUUGAUCGAGGAGGCCACGAUGAGGCGGACACCGACUGCAAGCGGAAGCUGCCAGCGCCGCUGACCCGGAGAGGCACGGACAGGCGAGAGCCAUCCCCAAGACUUUGAGAGUACAGUUGGCCUUUUGUGUUGGUGGAUUCUCCGUGGUAUGGAUUUAACCAACCACUAAUCAACACUGCAGACUCCAAAAAUCGGUGGAGAAGAAGGGGGACAACGACUGAAAAACUGCCUGCUGGGAUCAAGAUGAGCUAUAUUAAAGAUUGAUAUAGUCUUUAUGAAAAUGUGCCUCAUUAGUUGGCUGCAAGAAAGUUAUUCAGCCUACAAAAGGAAAAAGAUCUCAAGUUUUCUGAUUUGGAAGUUGAGGAAGACUUGUUAUAUUUCUACAGUAAAAGACCUAUUUGUGCUGAUUAAUAGGAGCCAGAAUAGAAAAGGGACUGAUGAUGCAGAAGACAGAACUAUUUUAAUGGCAGAAUUCUCCACUUUCAUCUGUGACUUAAAGAAGAAAUUGCUAGACAACUCUUCAUAG